UGGCGCACGGGUGCGUAACGCGUAACCAACCUACCCACAUCUGGGGGAUAGCCCGCCGAAAGGCGGAUUAAUACCGCAUAAGCUACUUGGCCGGCAUCGGUUGGAUAGCAAAGAUUUAUUGGAUGUGGAUGGGGUUGCGUGCCAUUAGCUAGUUGGGGGGUAACGGCCCACCAAGGCGACGAUGGCUAGGGGAGCUGAGAGGCUGGUCCCCCACACGGGCACUGAGAUACGGGCCCG
rnacentral:rRNA from 1 species